rnacentral:rRNA from 1 species
CCCUUAGAUGUUCUGGGCCGCACGCGCGCUACACUGACGAAUGCAACGAGCUUAUAACCUUGGCCGAAAGGUCUGGGUAAUCUCCAAAUUUCGUCGUGAUGGGGAUAGAUUAUUGCAAUUAUUAAUCUUCAACGAGGAAUGCCUAGUAAGCGCAAGUCAUCAGCUUGCGUUGAUUACGUCCCUGCCCUUUGUACACACCGCCCGUCGCACCUACCGAUUGAAUGGUCCGGUGAAAUUCUCGGACGCGGACUUGCGAUGUUAAUUCGGAGCUUGACUGUGAAAGUUAAUUAAACCUUACCAUUUAGAGGAAGGUGAAGUCGUAACA